CAGCAGCCACGGUAAUACGAAGGGGGCUAGCGUUGCUCGGAAUGACUGGGCGUAAAGGGCGCGUAGGCGGCGGCCAAAGUCAGGCGUGAAAUUCCCGGGCUCAACCUGGGGGCUGCGUUUGAUACUUGGUUGCUUGAGUGGGGAAGAGGGUCGUGGAAUUCCCAGUGUAGAGGUGAAAUUCGUAGAUAUUGGGAAGAACACCGGUGGCGAAGGCGGCGACCUGGUCCUUUACUGACGCUGAGGCGCGAAAGCGUGGGGAGCAAACAGGAUUAGAUACCCGCGUAGUCCCUGUCUCUUAUAC
rnacentral:rRNA from 1 species